rnacentral:tmRNA from 1 species
GGGGCUGAUUUUGGUUUCGACUUCGUAUAGUGAGCCAGGGGAAGCGUGCCGGUGCAGGCUGAGGACCACCGUAAGCGUCGCAGCAAACUGAUAAGCGCCGAGAACACUCAGCGCGACUACGCCCUCGCUGCCUAAGCAAGCGACCGCGUGUCUGUCAGACCGGGUUUGUCUCUGACCCGGACCCUGGCAUCGACUAAGAGGCUUGCUGCUCAGCCGCGUCAGCGGGGCUGAGCGGGACACCUUACCGCUGACUGGGCCCAUCAUCCGGGACGAGUUCGUCCGAGCCGGAGGGUCAAGCAGAGAUCAUGCGCGAACUGCGCACGGAGAAGCCCUGGCGAGUUAACGGAGGACCCGGGUUCAAUUCCCGGCAGCUCCACCG